GCAGCGAUGGGCACCCCUGGCAGGGGCCCUGGCGGGGGCAGUGCAGGAAGGCACGCGAGUGAAUGCCAGCCGUGAGCUGGUUUUAAAAGCUCCUUCGAUGAUGCCUUAAACAUUUUCCUUUUGAAGAAGCCACCACCUUUCAACACGUCUGAGAGCUGACUGAAGAGGCUGCUCAGGUUGCCACUUUUCUGCAGCCGCUCUAGAAGGAUUUAUAGGUUCCUCUGUGCUCAGACAACUGCUGCCUCCCCUUUCUCAAGCAGACGUGCACCAAUUUUAGCUUCAGUAACUGUUGCCAUUGUGGACACCCUCAGAAUGACAGAAGAGGCAAAAUCAGUAGGAACUGGACACAGGGAGAGAGGAAUAUCAGUGAUGGAUAGAGGCUCAGUACUAGGUUUGGGUUUGUUACAUGUGUGGGUGAGAUUCAACUCCAAACUCAAAUACCUACUUUUAGUCAUCUUCAUGCCCAAAUGAAUCUGUAGCCAAUUUUAAUCCAGGUCAAAGACUGCAUGCACCAGCAAAAUGAGACAACAUACAGAGUCAUUGAAAUACCUGAAACUCAUACUGAAUUCCAGUUCUCAGACAACAUUACUGCAUUAAACACAUGAAAGAAAUGCUGCUUUAUACUCAGGAUUACAGUGCCAUCACAGAGACACAGUCAGCUGAGAGAAGAGGAGGAAGGAAUUUCCUCACUUUCUUAUCCAGACCUCUCAGUAGGAGAUGCUGAGAGAGGAGCACAACUGGUACUGUAGCUGGGGAGGCAAAACACUGUGGGACCAGGUGAAGCUGCUGAGAUGUGGUUCACUUCAAACUUCUUUGUGGUAGGAACUGUAAUUUGGAAGGUGAAGACCAGUACAUAAAAAAAAAAAAAAAAAAAAAAAGAAAAGAAAACAGAAGAAAACCAAACAAAACCACAAACAAACAAACCCAACAAAUCAAGAUCUGUUGCACGGGGAUUAAAUUGUUUCUCAGUAAAGCAAAGGAUUUCACUGCUCUCUU